UACGGAGGGUGCAAGCGUUAAUCGGAAUUACUGGGCGUAAAGCGCACGUAGGUGGUUCGCUAAGUCAGCUGUGAAAUCCCCCGGGCUCAACCCGGGAACUGCGUCCGAUACUGGCAGGCUUGAAUCCGGGAGAGGGAUGUGGAAUUCCAGGUGUAGCGGUGAAAUGCGUAGAUAUCUGGAGGAACACCGGUGGCGAAGGCGGCAUCCUGGACCGGCAUUGACGCUGAGGCGCGAAAGCCAGGGGAGCAAACGGG
rnacentral:rRNA from 1 species